CCCCUCUCAGGGUCGCACCCGGAGAGUUUCCAGUACUCUACCAGUCUCGUUUAUGGAAGGGACAGUCAAGCAGAGGCAAUUCCAUUCCAUUCCUAGCUUGGGCAGUAGCUAGUGAGUGGAAGCCAAUCUGCUACAGGU